CGGUAUAUGAUGCAGGUCAAGAAGCGUGCAGACAUCAACUUCAGGUCAGAGUGGGGCAUCGGUAUAUGACGCAGGUCAAGGAAGCUUGCAGACAUCGACUCCAAGUCCUAUUUGGGUACCGAUAUAUCUUGCAGGUCGAUGGACCAGGCAGAAAUACAAUCCAGAAGUUCCAGUGUAUGCUGGAGGACAAGGGAACUUACAAACAUCCACUCCUAAUCAGAUAGGAUAUGAAAGCUCGACUGGGACACAGCCACCAGUUACAGCUGUACCAACUUCAAGUCAGCCUCUCGAACAGACAACGGCUACCUUUCAGACAGGAGCACACUAUUCAUAUGUUACAGGUGCACAGGCACCAGUCAACGGCCAGACAGGUACACAGACAACGACAUCAGCACCACUUCAAGUAGGUGCUCAAACACUAAUUGAACACCUUUCAGAGGUUUAUCCAAUAUCCAAGACACAUGUCAGUGGUCAGGCAACGGCACAGACAGCACCAGCCGCAGGUCAGGAUAGGUCACCAGUUACUGACCAGACUCCAGUUGCCAUAAAAGAGAUUGUACCUGUAAAGACUGUAGAGAACUCGGUAAAUGCUAAACUGAGCCAUCCGAUCGAACCAAGGCUUUCACCCGUUCCCAACACAGACCCAUAUACAGGCACUGGUAAUAUACUGAAACCGAUAACCAAUGCCGAAUUUGGGGCAAUUAUGCAAAGAAUGCUGGUUCAAAGACUACGAAAAUACAUCAGCUCCCAACGAAAAUUCCCAGCUUAUAAUCCAGAGCCUUGAGAAACCCCGUCACCAAUUAGACAAAAGAAUACUAGAUACCACCGAUGGAUGGUCCCACAUAAUAUGACGUCUCACCACGGCGUGACUAGAACAGCCUCAGAAGACAGACCUGAUCCAUCAGUUACGUUGAAGAGAAGACCCGUCUCAUUGCUGAAUGUGCUAAUAUAUGCUCAAAAGUCUACUUUCUGAAAUAAAACAAAUGGUAUUUUUCUGUGUAAAA